rnacentral:ncRNA from 2 species
GCAUAACUUCAGGGCGGGGUGAAAUUCCCCACCGGUGGUAGUUGAUGAGAGUGAUGACCGUGUGUCGUUGUUUUUGUCAGGAGCCCACGAGCGCCCGAGUCGCCAUUCUGGUGGCCCGGGGUCUAGCAGAUCAGGUGCGCAAGACAGGCAAUCUAAGGAUUGGUUGAUCGUGCAAGGCCUGAGCCGACGGUGAUAGUCCGGAUGGAAGAAGUUAACG